CGGGAAGAGCUCAAAUUUGAAAUCUGGCAGCCUUUGGUUGUCCGAGUUGUAAUCUAUAGAAACGUUUUCCGCGUUGGCCCAUGUACAAGUCCGCUGGAAUGCGGCGUCAUAGAGGGUGAGAAUCCCGUCCUUGACAUGGACUACCAGUGCUUUGUGAUACGUUUUCAACGAGUCGAGUUGUUUGGGAAUGCAGCUCAAAAUGGGUGGUAAAUUCCAUCUAAAGCUAAAUAUUGGCGAGAGACCGAUAGCGAACAAGUACCGUGAGGGAAAGAUGAAAAGCACUUUGGAAAGAGAGUUAAACAGUAUGUGAAAUUGUUGAAAGGGAAACGAUUGAAGUCAGUCGUGGGUCUUGCAUUCAGCUGGUUCUGCCAGUGUACUUGCUUGACCUGGGGUCAACAUCGGUUUUGACUGUCGGAAAAGGUUGGGGGGAAUGUAGCACUCUCGGGUGAACUUAUAGCC
rnacentral:rRNA from 1 species